AUUCUAUCAGCAUGAGGAAUAACACAUUAACUCGCCUUAUCUUGCAAGAUUAGAUCUUAAAAGCCUUGACUUGGUUCUCUUCCCAAGGCCACCUGCAUGUUUUACAGCCCAGUGAACAGGUGAAGUCAUCACACCACGAUGCCUUUGCAUCUCCUGUGUUUUGCUCGAAAGAACUGUAUGAAUUUUGGCAAGGGACAAGACAAAAAAAUAAUAAAAAUUUGAUCCUGAUUAUUUUAUAGGUUGGGUUAAAGAUACGUGGACAACAGCAAUCAAAAAUGUGGCACAAUGCUAAAACUGGCAAUUUACUAGACUGAAGUUCUGAAAGCAGAGGGGAGAAAAAAAAACUAUCACCACCACUAUGUGCACAAAGCCCACACUUGGGAAAUUAUAAUCAAAAAGUUGUUUUUCCAUUAUGAGAAUCUAAUUAGAUUCUAAGUGUUUCGAGGAGUACAAGCACUUUGUGUGCCAAAUCCCGUCUUGAAAAGCCCAUUCCCCCCCCCACAUAUGCACCAGCAAGACCCAGUUAAAGACUCCUUUCAAAGAAAAAGACAAAAAGACUACGUUGCUCAGCUGCCAAGCCCAGGAAAGGAUAAAACAUGCAAUACAGAUCUUGAUGUGCCAACCACAGCUAGAAAAAUGGCCAGAGCCUAAAAAUUAUUAAAUUCCCUUUGAUGAUGUUAUUUUAAGCACAUGAUAGGCAGGUAGUGUAACAAGAGCCAGAGUACUUUUUGAUUUAUCAGGGAUACGAAAUUGAACUAAGAAAAGCUAUGGAGGCUUCCACACUGUUGCCAUUGACAGAGAGAAGGUGAGAAGGGACCUGGAGAGGUUUCCUGGCUCUCUGACCCACCUGGAGGGAAGAGGAGCCCUUCCAGCAUCACUCCUGACCAACAUCCACCUAACGUGCUCCUGAAGACCCUGAGACAGCGGUUCCUCUGUCUCCCCAGGUUUCUCAGCUCAGUGACUAACUCCUCUGAUCACUACAAAGUUUUCCUAACGUCUCAUCUAAAUUCCCCUUACAGUAAUUUAAAACAGCUACUUCUUGCCUUCCUUCUUUUCCUCUUUCCAGCUAUAUUCCACAUAUCUGGAAACUAUCGCUGCGCAUUUUUUUAAGGUCACUAAUGACAAUGCAGUGCAAGCAAUUCUUAAUAAGUUACCCAUCAACAGCAGUAUCAGAUUUGCAUGCCAAAUAUUUCAUGCCCCUAACGUAAAAGUCUGAGGUUUUCCAUAACGAAUGACCCUUAAAUACCUCAAUGACUCUACCAGGCAGGCUUACGUUUAAUGGCCAUGUACACAAAGACCAGCGUGGGUCUGAGAGCGAGCGUGCCACCGAUUUCCACACAGGAACAUGAAGAUGCUAGAAAUGCGUAACAACUGCUCUGUGUCUUAAAAACAUCCUGUCCUUUUUAAAAUUAGAUUAUGAAAAAACAUGCAAAAAACAGCAGUGAUUAUUCAGGAAAGAUGUUCCAAAACAAACUCUCUCGACAAUUAAAUUUGUUACUUUGGAAUAAUUAGCUGUUAAAUGAUGAAGAAUGUACUCAUGCGUGCUUUCACUUAUUUUCUGAAAUGAGCUGAAUCCACUGCAUAAAAACAAGGAGACAACUCACUGUGACCACUGCCUGCUGUCACAACCCUACGGCACUGCAACAUACUCCUUAUGAAUCACGUAUAUGCAGUCUGAAGUCAUGAAAAAAGUACAGGGACUGGAUAACUGCCUGUGCAACCCCUUCUCCAUAUAGCUGUUCGAGGCUCGGAUAUGUACAAUUCUGCUAGCAGUCAGUCACCUUUAUCACCCUUCGAAAAAAGAAAUCUUUUCCAAAUUACUUUCAAUGUUGUGUAUUUCUUGUUUUAGGAGGGUUAUUUGCAUAUUAGACUUUGAAAGCCUUCAGUUCAUACCAAAUAUCUGGAGGAAACAGCAUGUGUGAGGGAGACGAUUUGGACAGCUGCAAACCUUUAGCCUUUGGCAUAAGGGCACAUCGAAAGCAGAGCUGAACCACUGCUUCCACCAGUAUGCUCACUGAAUUAUACCCCGCUCUGCCCAGCUGCCCAUCUAGGCCAGACUGGGGCAAAAAGCAGCAUUAUUAUCCCACUUUUGGUGGGCUAUGGCCCCCACCCCCUAUGUUCCCCAUUCAACAUGGCUGCCUCAACCCUUCAGGUAAGUUACUGGAGGAGUAUACUAUUCGCUUCCACCAACAGAAAAGUUUAUUUUGCCUUCAUGCCAAAGCUUCUGGUCUACUAAAACGAGUUAAAACGAGCUUGUUCUUAGGAUGCUAUUAAUAAAAACACGGGAAGUUUGCACGCACUCAGUAAGAUAACGUUGUUUUUGUCGAAGUGUACGGGGCGGGGCGAGG